rnacentral:rRNA from 1 species
UACGUAGGGUGCAAGCGUUGUCCGGAAUUAUUGGGCGUAAAGAGCUCGUAGGCGGUCUGUCGCGUCGGCUGUGAAAACCUGGGGCUUAACUCCGGGCUUGCAGCCGAUACGGGCAGACUAGAGUUCGGCAGGGGAGACUGGAAUUCCUGGUGUAGCGGUGAAAUGCGCAGAUAUCAGGAGGAACACCGGUGGCGAAGGCGGGUCUCUGGGACGGUACUGACGCUGAGACGCGAAAGCGUGGGGAGCGAACAGG